AUGGUGCACAAUUUCGAGACUCGUGCCCUAGUUGGCACAGGUCUGUGCAGCGAGUAAGGGUGGGUGUGUAGAUCCGGGAACGAAUAAGCUUCACAAGGUUUUUACGUGGAAGCGUUGAGGCCUUUCGGGGCUGAGAGCCGCAUGGCAGUACAUGCAUCUAAAUGCUAAGCAUUGUAUUUGAAAUUUCUUCAUUUAUUGAUCGGUUCGUGACUGGGUCUCCCUGCCACUUCCAGCUAUCGCACAGAAUCCAAGAGUCGGAUAUACGUAGAUCUGAUCGAUAUACAAAUUUUCAAUUAAACAGUUCAUGGUGAUGUCUGCCAUUACACAUCAGCCGUUAAUUUUAAGCCAGAUGAACAUGAUGUUUCCACAUUUUGGGAGCGUUGUUGCCGAUUUAUCCUCGCAGUCAUUCAUGUUAUGUUGGCGUAGGCCUCUGCGAUUGCUUUGGUUUUCAAACAUCGUUGAAGAUCCCUUUCUCAUAAAACUAGUAGUUGCAUAACAUUAUUUAUUUAGUUAUUUUUGUGGUCAAUGGAAAGCCAUUGUUGUCAUUUAAACAUGAUGUUGUGGUGAAUUUCAUCUUAGCUAUCCAAGGAUUUUGCGUAUUCAGGGGAAGUGUGCAUCCAGAAUGCUCUGAUCUUGGGCUUCUAAUGACAGUAGUCCAUGAACACUUAUAUUCAACUGCUCAAAACCUCGUUUUCUGUAGGGAAAUUCUCAAGGUUGGCAUGUGGCAUUAUUUCAAGGCCCCGAUCAUUUGCAUAUGAUCAACGUUGAAGUGCAAUUCACGAUGAGCUUUUGCGUGCAAGCCUCGAUGAAACCUAUUUUCGCUUCAUGAUUUGCAACCUGAUUGGAGUUGCUCAAUUGGAUGGUGGAAAGGAUGUUUCCCUAUUUUGCACUAGUUUUUGUCUCGGACUUCUAAUAGUGAGUGCUUAGGUAUGCCCAUUUGAAACUCUAUGCUCGGAACUGCCCUUUGUAUCAACCUAAGCGUUUAUAUUCGCACGACCAUGAAAAUGAUGAUAGUUUUUCAGCACAGGAUGCUUCUGGAAACCACACAGGCUCACUCACUUCCUCACAGCCACCAUAUUUUACACAAUUUCAGUGCUGCAACUGUUGUAUACAGAACAGCCUGCAAUUAAGUGGGGGUUGAGGAAUCCAGUGAAGAAGGCAUUGUUGUGUGUAAUAUUAGGUUGUGCUAUUAGACACCAAACUGAAUAUGUAGAAGAAUGUUUACAUGACAGGAUUGUUUUAUUAUACUUUAAUCAAAUACACACACACACACAUAUAUAUAUAUAUAUAUAUAUAUAGUAAUUCUCACAAGCUA